GUUGAUUUAGCUCAUUGGUAGAGCGCUUUCAUAGGAUGGGAGAGGGCUGGGGUUCAACUUCCCAUAUCUGCA
rnacentral:tRNA from 1 species